CCUACGGGGGGCAGCAGUGGGGAAUAUUGGACAAUGGGGGAAACCCUGAUCCAGCGACGCCGCGUGAGUGAAGAAGUAUUUCGGUACGUAAAGCUCUAUCAGCAGGAAAGAAAAUGACGGUACAUGACGAAGAAGCACCGGCUAACUACGUGCCAGCAGCCGAGGGAAUACGUAGGGGGCAAGCGUUAUCCGGAUUUACUGGGUGGAAAGGGAGCGUAGACGGCAGCGCAAGUCUGGAGUGAAAUGCCGGGGCCCAACCCCGGAACUGCUCUGGAAACUGUGAAGCUGGAGUGCAGGAGAGGUAAGCGGAAUUCCUGGUGUAGCGGUGAAGUGCGUAGAUAUCAGGAGGAACACCGGCGGCGAAGGCGGCUUACUGGACUGUAACUGACGUUGAGGCUCGAAGGCGUGGGGAGCAAACAGGAUUAGAUACCCGAGUAGUC
rnacentral:rRNA from 1 species